rnacentral:rRNA from 1 species
UACGUAGGGGGCAAGCGUUGUCCGGAUUUAUUGGGCGUAAAGAGCGUGUAGGCGGCCAUACAGGUCAGCUGUGAAAACUCGAGGCUCAACCUCGAGACGUCGGUUGAAACCGUAUGGCUAGAGUCCGGAAGAGGAGAGUGGAAUUCCCGGUGUAGCGGUGAAAUGCGCAGAUAUCGGGAAGAACACCUAUGGCGGAAGGCAGCUCUCUGGGACGGUACUGACGCUGAGACGCGAAAGCGUGGGGAGCAAACAGG